CAGAAAGAUCCUGGGUGUCCUCACCAGGACCGGUGACCUUCUUGCUGUGAGGCCAGGUCUUAAGAGGCUAAUCAUAAUACAUACAUAGAUAUUUAAUUUGUACUCAUAAUAGCAGAUGGUUUUUAAGGAUCUCUAGACUUUGUUCAC